UACGUAGGAGACGAGCGUUGUCCGGAGUUACUGGGCGUAAAGGGCGCGCAGGCGGCCUGUCAGGUGUCUGGUGAAAGCUCCCGGCUUAACUGGGAGAGGUCCAGGCAAACCGUCAGGCUUGAGCGUCGGAGAGGGGCAUGGAAUUCCGGGUGGAGCGGUGAAAUGCGUAGAUAUCGCUUGGAACGCCAAAGGUGAAAACAGUCUGCUGGGGACUUGCUGACGCUGAGACACGAAAGCCAGGGGAGCGAACGGG
rnacentral:rRNA from 1 species